UGGGGAAUAUUGCACAAUGGGCGCAAGCCUGAUGCAGCCAUGCCGCGUGUAUGAAGAAGGCCUUCGGGUUAUAAAGUACUUUCAGCGGGGAUGAAGGGAGUAAAGUUAAUACCUUUGCUCAUUGACGUUACCCGCAGAAGAAGCACCGGCUAACUCCGUGCCAGCAGCCGCGGUAAUACGGAGGGUGCAAGCGUUAAUCGGAAUUACUGGGCGUAAAGCGCACGCAGGCGGUUUGUUAAGUCAGAUGUGAAAUCCCCGGGCUCAACCUGGGAACUGCAUCUGAUACUGGCAAGCUUGAGUCUCGUAGAGGGGGGUAGAAUUCCAGGUGUAGCGGUGAAAUGCGUAGAGAUCUGGAGGAAUACCGGUGGCGAAGGCGGCCCCCUGGACGAAGACUGACGCUCAGGUGCGAAAGCGUGGGGAGCAAACA
rnacentral:rRNA from 1 species